rnacentral:rRNA from 1 species
UACGGCCAGUACGCAUGUACACAUCAUUGCAAGUUCGUACAAGCUUCAAGCGACGUUGAUUGGUGCUUGCAUCAUGAUUUACAUUUGAGUGAGUGGCGAACUGGUGAGUAACACGUGGGAAACCUGCCCAGAAGCGGGGGAUAACACCUGGAAACAGAUGCUAAUACCGCAUAACAACUUGGACCGCAUGGUCCGAGUUUGAAAGAUGGCUUCGGCUAUCACUUUUGGAUGGUCCCGCGGCGUAUUAGCUAGAUGGUGGGGUAACGGCUCACCAUGGCAAUGAUACGUAGCCGACCUGAGAGGGUAAUCGGCCACAUUGGGACUGAGACACGGCCCAAACUCCUACGGGAGGCAGCAGUAGGGAAUCUUCCACAAUGGACGAAAGUCUGAUGGAGCAACGCCGCGUGAGUGAAGAAGGGUUUCGGCUCGUAAAACUCUGUUGUUAAAGAAGAACAUAUCUGAGAGUAACUGUUCAGGUAUUGACGGUAUUUAACCAGAAAGCCACGGCUAACUACGUGCCAGCAGCCGCGGUAAUACGUAGGUGGCAAGCGUUGUCCGGAUUUAUUGGGCGUAAAGCGAGCGCAGGCGGUUUUUUAAGUCUGAUGUGAAAGCCUUCGGCUCAACCGAAGAAGUGCAUCGGAAACUGGGAAACUUGAGUGCAGAAGAGGACAGUGGAACUCCAUGUGUAGCGGUGAAAUGCGUAGAUAUAUGGAAGAACACCAGUGGCGAAGGCGGCUGUCUGGUCUGUAACUGACGCUGAGGCUCGAAAGUAUGGGUAGCAAACAGGAUUAGAUACCCUGGUAGUCCAUACCGUAGACGAUGAAUGCUAAGUGUUGGAGGGUUUCCGCCCUUCAGUGCUGCAGCUAACGCAUUAAGCAUUCCGCCUGGGGAGUACGGCCGCAAGGCUGAAACUCAAAGGAAUUGACGGGGGCCCGCACAAGCGGUGGAGCAUGUGGUUUAAUUCGAAGCUACGCGAAGAACCUUACCAGGUCUUGACAUACUAUGCAAAUCUAAGAGAUUAGACGUUCCCUUCGGGGACAUGGAUACAGGUGGUGCAUGGUUGUCGUCAGCUCCUGUCCUGAGAUGUUGGGUUAAGUCCCGCAACCAGCGCAACCCUUAUAUUAGUUGCAGCAUUAAAUUGGGCCCUCUGGUGGAAAUGCCGGGGACAAACCCCAGAAAGAAGGGGG